GAUGAACGCUGGCGGCGUGCCUAAUACAUGCUAGUAGCACGCUGAAGGUGGAGCUUGCUCUUUUGGAUGAGUUGCGUACGGGUGCGUAACGCGUAGGUAACCUGCCUGGUAGCGGGGGCUAACUCUUGGAAACGAUAUCUACUACCGCAUGACAACAGUUAUUGCAUGAUAACUUUUUAAACGGGGCACCUCCUCCACUACCAGAUGCACUUGCGUUGUAUUAGCUAGUUGGUGAGGUAACGGCUCACCAAUGCGACGAUACAUAGCCGACCUGAGAAGGUGACCGGCCACUCUGGGACGGAAACGCGGCCCAGAAUCCAAAGGGAGGCAGAGGUAGGGAAUCUGCGGGAAGGGACAGAAGUAUGACCGAGCAACGCCGCGAGAGUGAAGAAGGGUUUCGGAUCGUAAGGCUCUGUUGUAAGAGAAGAGCGAGUGUGGGAGGGGAAAGUUCACACUGUGACGGUAUCGUACCGGAAAGGGACGGCUAACUACGUG
rnacentral:rRNA from 1 species